AGCAGAACCUGUUGAAAUCCAUGAGGACGCUGCCGCCGCCACUCUGCAAUGUCCCUCGGAAGAGAGCAGCAUAGCAUCUCGUCAGAUGCAGCUGGAAUCAACAAUGGAAAUACCGUUGGAGGCAGCGAUGAAUGGUCACCUACUUCCAAAGGUCUCCAACGAAGGAUAGUCCUGAUGCCACAUGGUCAUUUGGUGGCCUGGAAGACUUACUGCGGAUGAACCAGAUGACGAUUGUUUUGUUUUAUAUUUGGGGAUUAGAGCAGGAAAUUGAGGGGACAGCCCAUUUUUAAGUGCCUGUCCGGUCUCCACAGAACAUCCCCGUUUCUGCACGCUCGCUCUAAGCCACUUCAAGCCAAGGCCCAGCCAGCCAAGUGGAACCACCUUGUGGAUCUUUUGGCAUGCUAAUUGAGAACGGUGGAAGAAAAACAUGCUACUCUGGUCUGUCCUCUGAAGGACGUUCAAGCCUGGUGUCCACCGAGCAGUGCAGUUUCGUACACUCAUCAUUUUGGGGUCUUUAACCGUGACAAAGGGUUGAAAAGAAACAAAACAAAAAACGAGGCCUGGUCAUGAUUUGCCGUGUGCCGAUCGCAAUCAGACGGCUUGGUGGAAGCGAAGCUUACUUGGAUCACUUUGACUCGAGAACAUCCCAUUUCUGUUCUGUUGCUUCCACAUUUUUUUUCUUCUUCUUGUAUCACGUGAGGUGCUCUAUUCUUUAGUGUGAGGCGCUGAGUGCACCCGAGCACCACAUUUGCUGGGGAUUGGUUUUUCAACCUUUGAAAUAAAGCCC